CAUGUCUUUUUGAUUUAUAAUAAAAAGUUUAAUCUGCCCAGUGAAAUAAAUUUAACGGCCGCGGUAUUUUGACCGUGCAAAGGUAGCGUGAUAAUUAGUUUUUUGAUUGAGAACUGGUAUGAAGGAUUGGACGAGAAAAGUUCUUUCUUAUUAAAAUUUUUAUAGAAUUUAAUUUUUGAGUUAAAAAGCUCAAAUUUAUUUAAAGGACGAGAAGACCCUUUAGAGUUUAAAAUUUUACUUAUAUAAAUGUUUUUGUAUUUAAUUAUUUAUUUAUAAAUAAAAUUUUUAAUUGGGGUGAUUUAAAGAUUAAUUUAACUCUUUAUUUUUUAAACAAUGAUUUUUGAAUUGAUGAUCCAUUAAUUUGAUUAAAAGAUAAAAUUACCUAAGGGAUAACAGCGUAAUUUUCUAUAGAGUUCUUAUUGAUUUGGGAGUUUGCGACCUCGAUGUUGGAUUAAAAUUUAAUUUUGGUGAAGAAGCUAAAACAUUAAGUCUGUUCGACUUUUAAAAUUUUACAUGAUCUGAGU
rnacentral:rRNA from 2 species